CCGCCGGCGCCGCGCGGGGCCUGAUGGGAGCGCGGCCGCAGCUGCCCGCCCUUCCUUCGGCGGCGGGAGGCAACGCAGGCGGCGGCGGGAUGCGCGGCCCGGCCCGCGGCAGCUGUGAAUUAUAGUAGAAGAUUGGACAAACGCUGGUAGAUUUAUCAUACAUAGAAGAUGGGUGGAUUAAUUUCAAGAUGGAGGCAGGCAAAGCCUUCCACUGUAGAAGUAUUAGAAAAAAUUGAUAAGGAAAUACAGAUGUUAGAAGAAUUUAGAGAAAAAAAUCAGAGACUCCAGAAACUAUGGGUUGGAAGACUACUCCUCUACUCUUCACUGCUUUAUCUUAUCACCUGUUUAAUUGUGUAUUUGUGGUGUCUUCCUGAUGAAUGGACAGCAAGGUUGAUUAUGACACUUCCAUUUUUUGCAUUUCCAUUGAUAAUCUGGUUUAUAAGAACACUGCUCAUUUUUUUCUUUUCCAAAAGGACAGAAAAGAAUAAUGAUGCAUUGGAAGAUUUAAAAUCUCGGAAGAAAAAAAUACUUGAAGAAGUAAUGGAGAAGGAAACUUACAAGACUGCAAAAUUAAUUCUUGAGAGGUUUGAUCCAGAAUCAAAUGCAAAGGAGGCCGAACUCCCAUCUGCUGGAACAUCUGCAACCCCCAGACCUGGGCAAGAAAUUCGUCAGAGGACCACAGCUCAAAGAAAUGCUUCUACACCCACUCCUGCAAUUCCUAAACAAGGCUCUCCAAAAUCGCCAGUUCCAGUAACAGCAUCUCCUAAUCUGCAGAGAGACCCAUCAGCUCUGAGUGGACUCCCAGAAAGAACUGCUGUGCCAUCCUUGCAGUCAAAUGUUUUACCAAGACGCCCUGGGUCCCCUGCUACUUCAGUGCCUGGAAUGGGUCUUCAUCCUCCAGGCCCUCCUUUAGCAAGACCUAUUCUUCCUCGAGAAAGGGGAGUUGUGGAUAGAGUUAUUGAAUAUUUGGUUGGUGAUGGUCCUCAGAACAGGUACGCCCUAAUAUGUCAGCAAUGUUUUUCUCACAAUGGUAUGGCUUUGAAGGAAGAGUUUGAAUAUGUAGCUUUUAGGUGUGCCUACUGCUUUUUCCUGAAUCCUGCAAGAAAAACUAGACCCCAGGCUCCACGACUUCCAGACUUCAGUUUUGAAAAAAAGCAGCCUGCAGAACUGCAAUCUGAAACUGAGCCUUUAGCUACUGGAGAGAGAAAGCUGCAGGAGAGUGAACAGUCAGAAGAUUCUGAAGAAACUACUCAAAUCAUUGAGACAAAGCAGAUAAAUAACCAAGUCCCAAGUCCUGAGCAGCUAAAUGAUAAGUUAGCUGAAGAAGUUGAAAAAGAGGAAGCAGAAAAUGAAAUGGAGUUUUCGACUGGUGAAGCAGAUUCUGCUAUUUCAGCUGAACAGAGUGAAGAAUCUGUAAUGAAAGCAGAAUAAAAAUACUUCAAGUGCCUUCUGUAGCUAGUUCUUUUAGCUUUGUUCAUGCCUGUUACUAUUCAGAUGCUGGAUUUGUAGAAAACUCUGAAGCAACAAAGACCUUCCAGCUAUCCUGAAAUGUUCUACCCUCUAAUUCCUUGCACCGCUUCAAGGAGCUCUACUCAAUUAAGGAAAUUUAAUUAUGAAUUGUUCAGCACAGAGACAUUUUACAAAAACACAAAAAUCAUUUUAAGAAAACUAUUUAAAAUGAGGUUUUAGAUGAAAUGUGAAAGUUAGUAUUUCUUACACAAUGUUUGUAGUUGCGUAUCUGUAUUUGUUGUACAGUAAGCAUUUAUUUAAACAGGAGAUACUAUAUUUAUAGAAUGUUUCAGUUCUUGUUGUUUAAUAGCCUUGUUGCAUUAGUAAAAAUUUUGUGUGUUUAUGUAAUAUAUGGUAUGAAUAGCCUCUUUAAUCAAAAGUACAUUUCAAUCUUUGCUGUGGUCUUGACCAGCAGUUACAUCACCUGUAAUUGAAAUGCCAUUUAAACCAAUGGCAAAGAUGUGGAUUACUGUGAAUUGUUAGUCUGAUAGACUUCAUAAUGAAAUCUCUCUUAGCUUUUCUGCUUGUAAUUGGGAAGAUAUUUAAGCUUGUGCUCCCCUUUUGAAAUAUAUUCUUAUUGAGUUCAACAAAUUUUAAAAAGAUGUAUAAAAUUAAAUUAUAUUGCUGCUUACUCAAAUAUGUGCUACCUUUGCUGUGUAUGUAAUUACUUAAGGAAAAACUUGAUUCUGAAAAGGCUGUUGAUUGUUUAUCUGAUCCAGAUUAUGACCAGAAUAAGAGUCAGGCUGCUCUUUGCCUAGUCACACUUUUAAGGUGACUUGUACUUUUGAGAUGAUGAUUCUUUUUAAUAAUUAAUUUUGUACUGGCUGUGCUCAAUCAAGUUGGAUUUCACAGACUUUUAAAUGGCCUUAUGUGUUACCAAAACAAGAUGGGGAUGUCCCUGCUUCUUCAGUGCAUUCGCACCCCCACAGUUGGACUGGCAUAGGUAGAAAACAAAAGUUGUUCAAGGUUGAGUAAGUUCUGAUAAGACCAAUUUAUCUACCCCACAAACAAUUGUGAAAGUUGUUGGUACAUGGCAUGAACAGCCAGCUGCUCUCAAAGGUCAGGCUGGCAUAAGACUGCAAAAUUUUGUGUGUGCAGUGAAGUAGAGGCACUGAAAACCUGCCCUGAUUCAGUAUAAAAAAUAUUGUGUAGCAACUUCAGGAGGAGACAGUAGAAUUCUGAAGAUACCGACUUUUUGUCUGUGAUUCCCCCAUUCCAUAAAUACAUACGUUUCAGGGUAGAUAUUAUAGGUUUUAUUGUACCUAAAUGGUGAUUUAUGUCCUUAUUCUUGCAUUAUUGUCCACAAGGUACUGCCCUGUGUCACAGGCCUGUAUUACCUAAUUUUUUCAGACUGUUUCAUUUUCAUUAGUACAACUGCUUUAGCUUGUGAUCAGUGUACUGCACCUCAUUGAUAAUCUAAGAGAGUAUUAGACGUGCAGAACUGACAUCUAACCCUGUCAGUCUGGCUGAUUGACCCCUCAGCUUCCGAAACAUGGGUUCAUUUUUUUAAAAUCCAAGUUAGCCCCACAUCCAUUUUCGCACACAUUCUGGGCAGUUUAAAGGUUGGUCAGAAUCGAAUAUUGCUCUUUCAAAUUUGAUAAUGUAUGAGUACAGAACUGUGACCUUUGAUACAUAGUAAUACAUCAACAUGACAUGAGCAGUAAGUGCAGCAAUUACCUUUACUACACUUGAGAUUGUGUUUUAGUUCUCAUCUCGUAAGCAAUUAUUUCAGGAAAAAAAGGAUGUCUCUAAGCUGAAUAUAUUUUGCAAAUAGUGUAAAUGCAGAAAUUAAUCUUUGGAGACUUUUUGAUUUACAGGUGAUUAUUUUUCAAAUGAAUCUUGGCUUUUACAUUAACACUGCUUCAGUAGUAGAAGGGAGUGAGUUCUGACUCUUGUGCUGUUGGCUUUUACAAUACUGUUUUCUGGGAGAAUCAUUUUAACCCUUUUUUGAUGUGUUCUGACGUAAUGUAAGGUUCAUAUUCUGACUUAUGGCUAAAGCCUGAUCCUGCAAGCGGUUGACAUGUCACUGUGUCCAUGUAGCUCCCGUGAUAAUACUCAUAAGAAUUAUAGUUGCAUGCAUGAAUGAUAACACAAGUCAACUUGUUUUUUUUCUUUCUAAGUAUCUUUUAGAACGCAUGAGAAUCCCAUUAGACCUGCACUGUGUAUUGAUUUAGAAGGCUGCUUUAGCUGCUCCAGCAAUGUUCCAUCUUUUUUCUGAUCAGAUCAAGACACAUUUGGUUUAGUUUCCAAGUCUUCUCCUUCACCUGUUGUUACAAAUUAUUUGGAUAAUGACAGUGCACAACCACUGCCUGAUAGGCACUAUAGAAACACAAAUCCAUGCUCCAUUGCCAAAGAGUAUAAAGCCUCUGCAGAUCUGUAAGAAGAGGAGCGGUUCCGGCUGUAGCUUCUGUUCUGUGGGUUAAAAAUCAGAAUAAAAUUACUAUGUUGUUCUGAGCAAGCAAUUGAGUAACCAUUGAAUGGUGAUUUUUCAUCAGUGCUGUCUGUCAUGAACAAAACUCAAAGGAAUAAUGUGCAGUAGAACUUACCGUUCUUCUAAAAUACCGGCUUCCUCAGCAGCCAAAGACUGAGCAUGUGGGCUUGCUAGAGUGCUUAUGCACUGAACUUUUUUCUCAGUGAAGAUUAUAAUUUGUAAUUCAGGAGCUAGCAGAAGUGUUUGUUCUGUUCUAUAUUGAGGUGAAAUCAACACCUUUUAAAAUAGGGGAUUUUUAAGCUGUCAAAAAUCUGUACGCUUAAUUCACAAUAAUGGUUGGCCUUAUUGGGACACUUAUGCAGGAGGCAGAAGACCAGUGUGGUGGUUUUGGAGUAGGUACUGAAGCCAGUAUCUCCCAAAUCUAAGGUGAGUAGGAAAGUAACUCUUUUUCUAGGGUGGGUUUCUUUUUCUAACUGCUGGCUUUGGGGAUGAUCAUUUGCUGUAUGUAUACAUUGGCCAUAAAUUGAUCAUAAACUUGAAAACUUUUUGAAUGAAAGUUUCAUCAAAAUGGAAAGGUCUCGCUGACAGAUUUUUCUAACACUUUCUAGCAACAAAUUCUUCACUAUCUGUAGUCUUGUCCCUCGUUUGGGAGGGAAAGCAAACAAAUACAGUAGAUCAUUACAUAAAUUAGUCCUAAUCAAAAUCUUGGUCAUACAAACCUUUCUGCAAAGCCACAAGGAAGGUCCUGUGUGGGGAAGUUCUGGAAGCAUGUUUCUGUGCCAUUUCUUGUUGCUUUGAACCUGUGCCACGUAAGGGGAACUUAGACCUUUACUUCAAAAUGAGAACUCCAGCUUUCUGGUAUUCUUUCAUUGAUUUUAAAUGUUAAUAGUACCUACUUUGUUUUGAAAGAAAUAAUCUUGUUGCACAGCAUUUUCCAUUAAAAAAUGUAAAUAGUCUGUAUGUGGAAAUCUUGUGCUGAAAAUGGCUGAAAACCAAAAUGGUUUUCAAACUAAGGUACUGUGUGUGUUGAUGACAUAGCAAAUGAAUGUGGUUGCAACAAUUCAAUGCGGAAGUCUGUUUUUCUAUUAAGACUCUGUUUUUAUAGGAAAGUUACUUACAGUAAAAGAGUACAAUUGUGCUGGUAGAUAACUGGGUGGAGAAGUAUAUUUGUUACUUUACUACAAAUAAAAAUGGCAAAACCUUGGCAAGUGUUAGAUCAUUACAAGUCAGUAUUUGUUGAUUGUUGUUUAUCCACACUGAAUUUAUUACUUCUAAUAAGAACUCUGACAUCUUCAGUUCUUCUCUCUGAACAGUAGUAUGUAAUGUUAAUCAUUUUUAAAGAGCAGACAACACCAGUAUUCCCCAACAGCAGUAGAAUCCCUCUUAUAGUAUCUGGAAAAUACUACUUUUCUCUCAUAUUUUAGAGAAGGGAGUGAAUAUGGUAUUUUUUCACCAUUUCUGCUACAACGAUAUUAAUAGAAAUAUUUUUCAAAAACACUAGCAUUUCUGCUUGUUUGAGCUAUUUGGCUACAGCUUUGCAUAGCUGAGGCUUUUUUAAAGAGACAGUGAAUGACAGCCUGGAUGCAGAAUGUAUUUUCCUUUUUUAGACUUAAAACUUAUCUUACAGGCUUGCAGUGGUGUGAAAUUCUCCUGAAAGGAGAUUGUUAGAUGACUGAACAAAUGGUGGGCGGUUGAAAUUGAGGGACACUUAAUGGGAGCUACUUGGCUAAGACAGUGUGCAUCUUAUUGUGAAUACUCCUGAUGUAAUAUUGAUGUAGACAUUAUGUCCAUCCAGUAAUGGAUGUCUCAUCUAUUUGAUUUUAAAAAUCUCGAUUGCUUUAAGAAUUUUCGCAGGAUGCAUUCUGAAUAAGUGUAAUGAUUCUGUGAGCUAGAAUAUUGUUAGCCAUUGUGAACAGUACUGAUGGAGUCUCAGUAUAUAUAAUGUGAUGGAUGCAAUUUUGUUUGAAUUUUUUUCCAAGGCCAAUUUAAUUUUGAUUUAUUUGCCUCAUUAACCCAAGGAUUCAGAAAAUUGAAUGCCACCUGAGUAAGGUAUUAUUAACACUAGUGAAACAUUUUCAAAAUCGCUCCAUGCUUAUAAAUUGGUUUUUGAAAGCAUUUUAAAGGCAUAAUGAUACUGUUGUGAAAAUGAACAGCCCUCUUUAAAAAUUGUAAAAUGCUUAUCUGAUUUCUGAAAUAAGACUUGGUCACCUGACUUAAAUAUAUACUGAUCUAUUAUUUAUGCUUUGAAAAUAGAGCUGAUAAAAAGCAUAAGUGUUCUUGAUACUAUAUUUUGUCAUAUCUGGCUAAAAAGAUUGAAAUCCAGAGAAACAAUUUUCUGAAGAAAUGAAAUAGUAUGCCCUCCUGAACCCCUGGGGAAAAUAGCCUCUCUGUUUACUCAGAAUAUGAAACAGUAAAACAGUAUAAGUAAAACAGACAGCCCAUGUCACAUUGCUAUUUGUACAGUUUGGAAAGAUGUUUUAAAAACAUUUUCUAGUUAUUUUUGAUAAAUAAAUGGUGCAAAUAACAUCUGCAAACCAACUCUGCCGAUGUAAGAUUUUUCAGAUCAGAUUUAUUUCUUGGUCAAAGUGAGAAAAUUGCUUUGCAAAACUAAAGUUGUAUAACUCUCAAAUAUGCAAAACAAAUGUACAAGAAUAUAUCUUGUUUCCCUUUUACUCUCCCUCAAAGAUACUAAUGCUGAUUCUCCAUCAUCUUUGCUUUUGGACUCAGAAGGUGGCUUGAUAAAUUUAUCAAAUAACAAAAAGCUUAGUUACUAAACAUAGACAUUUUUAGAAGUCAAUAUCUGAACGCUCAAAUUGGUACCUGGGCAUCCGGCUACAUUUUUGGAUCUGCAGCCUCCUUAAAGCCUUGAGAUUUCCAUUUGAGUCAAUGCCCCACUGAAAAAUGAGUUUAAGGGUUGUAUCACCCUCCGCAGGUGACGCAUCUAUGAUCAGGGAGGAACAAAGAAACUGUGUGUUGCCUAGGUGUUGCUUUCUGCAGGUUCUGCUGGAGACCCUCAUACUGAGGAUGAAUGAGACUUCUUCAAAGCCCUGCGGCUUCCAGGAGCACUCUCUUCGGUACGUGAACGCUGAUUUCUCCUUACUUUCCUUUGCUGUGAGGUGAAAACUGAGGUGGAAAUUCCCUGAGCAGCAGGGUUGGGAAGUCUGACGUCAUAGCUCCGCAGAUGCCUUGUUGCUGAAGACUAGCCCAGUAAGCACGUGUUGGGAGAGCCCCUGAAGCACUGCUCGCCUAGGAACUGGCUUUCGGCUGUGUUUGUGGAAUCUGCAUCUUCAAAGCAAAAUGUGUUUGGGCAGAGUUUCUCUCCUGCAAUGUUAUACUUGAGACUUCUGUUGUCUGUAGAGUUGGCUAAAGCCAACUUUUCUUUACUGAUAUUUUCAUAGGGUGCUUAGUGGACUCCAUCCCAGAAGGACUAAAUUCUGUGAUGUAUCUGCAGAGUACAAAAGGUGCAUAUUUUGUAAAUGUGUGUUUAAUAGAGAAUGCAAUAAAAGAAAGCAUUUCUGUUCAUUUUCUAUCCUGAAAUUUUAUAAAUAUAAUGAUUUAAUAAAGUUUACCUUUUGAGUUUAUGCAAGGCUGGAAUAUUGCUUGGCAUUGUAUUUUGACACCUGAACAAAGAAUAAGCCGUUGUGGGGUUUAUUAGACUAGUAACAUUUCAUUGAGUUAAUGUUUUUGUUGAACGAGUAACCUCUUGGGUAGGGAGUCUUUGUCAAGGUUGGGGUAGAAUUCUGGAACUGGUUUUUUUUAUGUUAUGGUUAUACGUGUUCACUGUCAUAUGUAAUUAUAGAGGUGUUAAUGGAAGACAUGCCACUCUGAAUAGUCUGAAUGCAUGUUUUCAUACAGCAAAUACAGAAAAGGAACAAGCAUGAUAAUAUUGUCCUAAUAAAGUCCUAAAAAACUCAA